rnacentral:rRNA from 1 species
CCUGCAGGCAUAGCGCUAUCGGCGGCUCGAGCGCAAGCCUCUUGGAAUAGAGCGUGUGCCCGGGUGAGAAUCCUGCAUUUCGCUCGAUGUCCGCUGUCCACAGUGCUUGUUCUGAGAGUCACGCUCCUCGGAAUUGGAGCGUAAAUCAGGUGGUAAGUUUCAUCCAAAGCUAAAUAGAAGCUCGAGACCAAUAGCAAACAAGUACCAUGAGGGAAAGAUGAAAAGGACUUUGGAAAGAGAGUUAAAAGUGUUUGAAAUUGCUGAGAGCGAACCGAACGGAGCCACAUGUCCUGCUGAGAUUGCUGUGGGUCUUUGUGAGCCUUGAACAUGUAAACCCAAACUGACUGGGGGUGCUUGAGCAUUUUUCCCCAGUGUUUCUCAACAUGCGAGUCAUUAACCACAUUUGUUUGAGGAUGGCCUUCAACUCACAUGGUACACUUGUUAACGUGCCUUUUUGCCGUGUGGGACUCAAACACGUGUUCCUUGUUGACCCACUGGCCCUUUUCUAACCCUCUUUAAACA